AGAGUGAACGCUGGCGGUAGGCCUAACACAUGCAAGUCGAACGGCAGCACAGUGGUAGCAAUACCAUGGGUGGCGAGUGGCGGACGGGUGAGGAAUACAUCGGAAUCUACCUUUUCGUGGGGGAUAACGUAGGGAAACUUACGCUAAUACCGCAUACGCCCUUUGGGGGAAAGCCGGGGAUCGCAAGACCUGGCGCGGAUAGAUGAGCCGAUGUCGGAUUAGCUAGUUGGUGAGGUAAUGGCUCACCAAAGGCGACGAUCCGUAGCUGGUCUGAGAGGAUGAUCAGCCACACUGGAACUGAGACACGGUCCAGACUCCUACGGGAGCAGCAGUGGGGAAUAUUGGACAAAGUGGGCGCAAGCCUGAUCCAGCCAUACCGCGU
rnacentral:rRNA from 1 species